UCUCGAAAUAACAGUGACAAGAAGUCUCCAAGCUUUUCACUGUCUAGUCACUACCUUGACACUGCUUGGAGAAAGGUAUUGAUGGAGACAAAGGUCGUGGAAAAUCCUUAGGUAGGAGUAAACCUGAUGUUAGUGUAAGCAUGCCAAAUAUUCCCAAGCCCACUAGAUUUUCUCCUCAAGAAGGUGGUACCCCAACCAAUAUUGUAACGUCAACUCAGAGUAUUAGCCCAAUCAUCUCUAAGACACCUCCAGUUACAUCAAACGAGAGUAACCGAACAGGUAUUGUUGGAGGCGAAGGUCGUGGAAAAUCCUCAGGUAAGAAUAAUUCUGCUAUUCGUGUAAACAUGCAAACUAUUACCAAGUCCGCUACAGUUUCUCCUCAAAAGGUGGUACACCGAUCAUAUUGAAAUCUCAACUCAAAGUACUAGACCAACCAUCUCCGAGACACCUCCAGCUACACUAAAUGACAGUAACCUAAUAGGUCAAGGUAUUUUUACUCAUAGCAAUGUUCCAACAGGUCAUAAAAAUAUAGUUGUUGAAGGCGAAUCCAAUAGUAGCCAUCCACGGACCCUUGUCUUUCUAAGUUCUGUAGGGUUAGUCUAUUCUUUUGAUUUUAUUCCUACUUGUUGUGUUGAUGACACUUGCUAUCUUUGAAUUAAGAUUUAUGAUAGCCCUCCUAAUAACCUCUUCUAAUUUAUAAAGACUGGAACCUUCUCAAAUAUGUUGUAGUUUCAUAUUCAAAUCUUUCAAAAGUGAGGUUGAUCCCAAUGGAAUCAAUUGGAAAGGUAUUUCAAAUGAUGUAAGAAAUGUUUAUUUUGGAGAAUUUAAGG